CAAGGUAAAUACUUUGGAGAAUAAGUGGUGGGUAAGACUGGUGCCAGCCGCCGCGGUAACCCCAGCGCCACAAGUGGGGAUCGGUUUAUUUGGUCUAAAGCGUCCGUAGCAGGUCUUGUAAAUUUUUGUGAAUUUGUUGUGCUUAACACAACACACUGCAGAAAAGACUGUAAGACUUGGAACUGGGAGGAGUAAGCAGUAUUCUCGGGGGAGCGGUAAAAUGUUAUAAUCCCGAGAGGACUACCUGUGCCGAAGGGGGCUUACUAAUACAGAUUCGACUGUGAGGGACGAAAGCUAGGGGAGCGAAAAGGAUUAGAUACCCUUGUAGUCCUAGCCGUAAACACUGUGAACUAGAUAUGGCAUAAACUUCGUGUUUGUGCAGUAUCGAAACGAAGGUGCAAGUUCACCACCUGGGAAGUAUGGUCGCAAGGCUGAAACUUAAAGGAAUUGGCGGGGGAGCACUACAAGGGGUGCGGCGUGCGGUUUAAUUGAAUUCAACGCCGGAAAUCUCACCAGGAGCGACGGCAGGAUGAAAGUCAGUCUAAAGGGCUUACUUGACGAGCCGAGAGGUAUUGCAUGGCCGCCGUCAGCUCGUGCCGUAAGGUGUCCUCUUAAGUGAGGCAACGAGCGAGACCUGUGUUUUUAAUUGAAAACGACGUGUUAACGGAUUGUUCACAUUAAAGAGACUGCCGUGGUAACACGGAGGAAGGUGCAGGCAACGGUAGGUCCGUAUGGUCCGGAUCCCCUGGGCUACACGCGCGCAACAAUGGCUGGAACAAUGGGAUGCAACUCCGAAAGGAGAAGCUAAGCCUCUAAAUCCAGUCUUAGUACGAAUUGAGGU
rnacentral:rRNA from 1 species